UCCGUAGGUGAACCUGCGGAAGGAUCAUUACAGUAUUCUUUUGCCAGCGCUUAACUGCGCGGCGAAAAACCUUACACACAGUGUCUUUUUGAUACAGAACUCUUGCUUUGGUUUGGCCUAGAGAUAGGUUGGGCCAGAGGUUUAACAAAACACAAUUUAAUUAUUUUUACAGUUAGUCAAAUUUUGAAUUAAUCUUCAAAACUUUCAACAACGGAUCUCUUGGUUCUCGCAUCGAUGAAGAACGCAGCGAAAUGCGAUAAGUAAUAUGAAUUGCAGAUUUUCGUGAAUCAUCGAAUCUUUGAACGCACAUUGCGCCCUCUGGUAUUCCAGAGGGCAUGCCUGUUUGAGCGUCAUUUCUCUCUCAAACCCCCGGGUUUGGUAUUGAGUGAUACUCUUAGACGGACUAGGCGUUUGCUUGAAAAGUAUUGGCAUGGGUAGUACUGGAUAGUGCUGUCGACCUCUCAAUGUAUUAGGUUUAUCCAACUCGUUGAAUGGUGUGGCGGGAUAUUCUGGUAUUGUUGGCCCGGCCUUACAACAACCAAACAAGUUUGACCUCAAAUCAGGUAGGAAUACCCGCUGAACUUAAGCAUAUCAAUAAGCGGAGGA
rnacentral:rRNA from 1 species